CCUACGGGAGGCAGCAGUGGGGGAUAUUGCACAAUGGGGGAAACCCUGAUGCAGCGACGCCGCGUGGGUGAAGAAGCGCCUCGGCGCGUAAAGCCCUGUCAGCAGGGAAGAAAAUGACGGUACCUGAAGAAGAAGCCCCGGCGAACUAGGUGCCAGAAGCCGCGGUAAUACGUAGGGGGCAAGCGGUAUCCGGAUUUAUUGGGUUUAAAGGGUGCGGAGGCGGAUUUUUAAGUCAGCGGUAAAAUCGUGGGGCUCAACCCCAUCCAGCCGUUGACACUGGGGACCUAGAGUGUGCGAGAGGUAUGCGGAAUGCGUGGUGUAGCGGUGAAAUGCAUAGAUAUCACGAAGAACCCCGAUGGCGAAGGCAGCAGACCGGUGCACAACUGACGCUCAGGCACGAAAGCGUGGGUAUCGAACAGGAUUAGAUACCCUAGUAGUC
rnacentral:rRNA from 1 species